rnacentral:rRNA from 1 species
CCUACGGGAGGCAGCAGUGGGGAAUAUUGGACAAUGGGCGAAAGCCUGAUCCAGCAAUGCCGCGUGUGUGAAGAAGGCCUGCGGGUUGUAAAGCACUUUCAGUUGGGAAGAUGAUGACGUUACCAACAGAAGAGC